GGGCCAGACUCCUAAGGGAGGCAGCAGUGAGGAAUAUUGGUCAAUGGACGAGAGUCUGAACCAGCCAAGUAGCGUGAAGGAUGACUGCCCUAUGGGUUGUAAACUUCUUUUAUAUGGGAAUAAAAUGUUCCACGUGUGGGAUUUUGUAUGUACCAUAUGAAUAAGGAUCGGCUAACUCCGUGCCAGCAGCCGCGGUAAUACGGAGGAUCCGAGCGUUAUCCGGAUUUAUUGGGUUUAAAGGGAGCGUAGGUGGAUUGUUAAGUCAGUUGUGAAAGUUUGCGGCUCAACCGUAAAAUUGCAGUUGAAACUGGCAGUCUUGAGUACAGUAGAGGUGGGCGGAAUUCGUGGUGUAGCGGUGAAAUGCAUAGAUAUCGCGCAGAACGCCGAUUGCGAAGGCAGCUUACCGGCGCUCAACUGACGCUGAGGCACGAAAGUGCGGGUAUCGAACAGGAUUAGAUACCCCAGUAAG
rnacentral:rRNA from 1 species